CCCGCUGAACUUAAGCAUAUCAAUAAGCGGAGGAAAAGAAACUAACAAGGAUUCCCCUAGUAACGGCGAGUGAAGCGGGAAGAGCUCAAGCUUAAAAUCUCCGUGCAAGUUUUGCGCGGCGAAUUGUAGUCUAUAGAGGCGUGGUCAGUGAGGGCGCUCGGGGCAAGUUCCUUGGAAGAGGACAGCAUGGAGGGUGAUACUCCCGUUCAUCCCUGGGUGGCUCUUGCGUACGACCCGUUUUCUUUGAGUCGCGUUGUUUGGGAAUGCAGCGCAAAGUAGGUGGUAAAUUCCAUCUAAAGCUAAAUAUUGGUGCGAGACCGAUAGCGAACAAGUACCGUGAGGGAAAGAUGAAAAGAACUUUGAAAAGAGAGUUAAAGAGUACCUGAAACUGCUGAAAGGGAACCGAAUCGUUUCCAGUGUCUAUAAUCCGUGGCAUAUUUCAUUGGCGAGUGUGUGCUUGCGUGUGCUUUGGCAGUGGCUUUUUUGGCUGCGCUGGGCGUGCGUGCUGUGUGUGCUUGCUGGUGCCCUGUGCUGCGGUGGGACGUCAAGGUCAGUUCGUGUGCUGCGGGAAAUGGCUGCCGAGGAGGUAGGGCUUACGCUCCGCGUUUGUCUGUUAUAUCUUGGUGGACGAGUCGUCGCGGUUGGGACUGAGGUGCCUACAACGUGCUUUUGAGUGAGUGCGUGUCUCCGUGUGCGCCGUGUGCGGAUAGCUUGCUAUGCGUGUGUGGUUGUGUGUGGAUUGAUGCGCGCUUUAGCUUGUCGCCGUUCGGGACGUUGACGAAAUGGAGCGAUCCGACCCGUCUUGAAACACGGACCAAGGAGUCUAACAUGUGUGCAAGUGUUAGGGUGUGGAAACCCCAGCGCGAAAUGAAAGUGAAGGGCAGCGCAAGUUGUCUGAGGUAGGAAACGUUGCGGGCUUCGGUCUGCGGCGUGGCACUAUCGACCGAUCAUGAACCUUCGUGGUGAAAGAUUUGAGUUUGAGCACAUAUGUUGGUACCCGAAAGAUGGUGAACUAUGCCUGAGUAGGGUGAAGCCAGGGGAAACUCUGGUGGAAGCUCGUAGCGAUUCUGACGUGCAAAUCGAUCGUCAAACUUGGGUAUAGGGGCGAAAGACUAAUCGAACCAUCUAGUAGCUGGUUCCCUCCGAAAUUUCCCUCAGGAUAGCAGCAACUUAUUUACGAUAGUUUUAUGAGGUAAAGCGAAUGAUUAGAGGAUUCGGGGAAGAAACUUCCUCGACCUAUUCUCAAACUUUAAAUCUGUAAGACCUGCAGGUUUCUUAAUUGAACUUGUGGAUGUGAAUAUCAAGUUGCUAGUGGGCCAUACGGGGUAAGCUCGUCUGGCG
rnacentral:rRNA from 1 species